CUGAGCAAGAUUGAGCAGAGUUCGAGAAGCUGGGAGGGGGUUGGGGAGGAAAUCAACUGCUGUUGCUGGACACGCUGACAGCAAAGGCGGUGGAAUCAGGGAGACAGAUGAGAAAGCCAAUUUUUCGCUUGCUUCCCCAAGGAGCAUCGGCGCUGGAGACGGGAGGAAGGAGAACAGAAGACACAGGACAUUGCAAAGGGAUAUGGGCAACGCUGGCAUUUAGUGUCCUUCCCUAAUUUCCCAAAGAGUGAAGAAUUAACCACAAUGAUAUGGAUCUGGCAUCACACGUAGUCAAGACCAGGAUGUUGAGGCUACCUUCACUGAAGAGAGCUGUUCCUGGGUUCCUGGCAUUCUCCUUUACAUACUGCCUAACAACAGACUGCCUUCGUCGAACAAAAAAAACACGGUACCUUGUUUUAGGUAGACAGUCCUUUAUCAGCGACUGCAUUGCAUAUUUACCAAUGCAAUUUCACGUUAAAUAGCACUGAUUCAUGUCCUGCUAUAUCUAGCAGUCACAGGAACACCAUGCAGCUGAAUCAAGGAAUGCUAUCAUAAUAAAAGUGAU